rnacentral:snRNA from 1 species
GUGCUCACCUUGGCAGCAUACAUACUAAAACUGGAAUGAUACAGAGAAGAUUAGCAUGGCCCUGCACAAGGAUGACACACAAGUUUCUGUGCAAAUUCAUGAACUGUU